rnacentral:tRNA from 1 species
UCCUUUGUGGCUUAGUGGUAAAGAGCCUGCCUGUAAUGCAAGAGACCUGGGUUCGAUCCCUGGGUCAGGAA